rnacentral:lncRNA from 1 species
UGGAGGUGUCGUCUGCCGCCUGGAACCGCUCCGUCUGCGCCGUUCAUCACCUGUAUCAGCACGCACCGAGCGUCGUCGUCUUGGAGGUCCUCACUAUCAUACUGCUUAUUGUCCAUGUGCUCAUCGAGUACAAACUUAUACGCAGAGUCUCUAGUGUGUCACUUACGAAGUGUUUUCCCUCGCCCUUUUCUUUGCGUCACUCUGGCACCACAAAUACAUUUACUGAGUACGUUUACCGAGUCUGGCGCCUGCUGCGUCUUGUGUCGCUGGGGCUCCUCGUGCUGGCGCUGAGCGAAUGUGACUUUGUCCUGGGCUGCCGACAGUUCAUCGUGUGGCAGCUGGAAGUACUGGCAGUGCUGCUUGUGUGGCUUCACUUUGUGGCAACUCUGAACAAGAUUUUAUGGUCCUCGGGACUUAUUCCAAUUGAUACCAUGCUAUUAUUUCCCUUCGCGCUGCUUCUUCUGCCGCUUUUUCUCUAUUUGCUUGCAUUUGCCGUGUCUUUUCAUUUUAUCUUUUUGGAGAACAAGACUUUUGGUUCCAUGCCUUACUCUUUUGUGAAGACCAUCACGAUGAUGCUCGGAGAUUUUGGUUACGACGAUACUUUUGCUUACGAUAACACCAAUGGAUCGUACCCACUCCUGUCGAACGUGUUGUUAGUAGUCUUCAUCCUCUGCAUCAUAGGAAUGGUACUGAAUUGUGUCUCUGGAGGCUUUACAGAGAAGUUCACUGAACUAAGGAAAAAGGAGCAAGUAAACCGAGCGAUAUCGCUUCUUCGCACCCACUUGCUCAUCGAUGAAUUCGUGCCGGAAUGGCGCAGAAAAUAUGCUUGUUCACUUAAAAUUCGCGAGAUGAACUGGCGAUCGUCUUCUGUUAGUUCCGAAAUGCUCCAAGAGCAGAAAAGGGAAACUUCAGCACAGGGUCUCGAGUUGACGAAGAUAGUUGAUCAACUGACGAAAUUAGCGGAAGACAUGAAAGAUAUGAAGCAAAGUAACUAACUUUUCUCUGUAAUUGAUAUCCGAAUAGCAACAUUAGCAAACGUCUGAAAAGGAACUCCAACUGACGAAGUUGGGAAAAAGAUGAAAGACUUGAAAUAGGCAUCCAAAUUCUUCUUAUCAGCUCAUCAGCAAAACGCAUUGUGACAGGUGACCUGUUUCGCUGAAAAAGUACCAAAAAAUUAGAAGCAAUUUAUACUCUUAUUUUUACAUAUUUUAAAAGGUGGUUGUCUUCAGAUUGGCAAUAUGUAUCGACGUUGGUUAGGCGUGAAUGCAAGGCCAGUUGAUCAUGAUUCGAGCGUUUUUAAGGUCAUAGAUAGCAGCCCCUAGUUUUAACGGCUAAUAAACGUGUACAAGUGGCCAGAAUGUUAAGCCAAUUGAGAAAUUUAGCUGUAGCUUAGGAGCUAAACUACAGCUCCUAAAAUCUUCUGCCAUAACUUUGUUUCAUGUAGAAGAUUGUAAUAAAUAAAUAUUUUGAAAUCGAUUCAAGUAUACAAUUCCUAUACAGUUAAUCGAAAUCAUGAUAAAAAUAAAUAAUUAAUAUGGUAGUGAUUUUCGGUCUAUAUAAUGUCAUUUUAGAAUUUAGAAGCUAAUACACAUUAUAUUUAUAACUUAAUAUGAUUAAUGCCAUACAAAAAAUGGCGAGGCGAAUACAAGAUUCAUGGGUUUUUUGUCGAGUCCAAAACUCAUGCAGGAGGCGCUCAAUCGAUAUUGAUAAUUAUCGAGCAGGCAAAGACUACUUCUUUCAAUAAAUAAUUUCAAAUGAUUAUAAAGUGAGUAAACGAUGUUGUCUCAAAUUGCAGAAAAUAUGUAAAUGUUCAAGGGUCUUGAUUUGUAAUAAACGUCAUCGAUUUAAAAAUAAUCAAUGAAAAAUAAAAACAAACCAAACAACACAAAGUUGGUCCAACUUGAGCGCCCUUUUGAUUGAUUUUAACAGCCCGUGGGAAAUAUUUCUAUGUCUUUUCUUUUAUUUCUAUGUUGAUUCUGUGUUCAAGUUUAUGGAACCUACUGCAAGGACUUUGUAAGGGUAUUACGUACGUUGUAUAGACUACAAUUAUAAAGAGUAUUUAUUGAUCGAAAACUGUAAAAUUGAAAAUUAUUAGGAGUUUUUUCAUACUUAAUUAUUUCGGUUAUUUAUUCAUGGUAAA